UGCAGUCGAACGGUAACAGGUCUUCGGAUGCUGACGAGUGGCGAACGGGUGAGUAAUACAUCGGAACGUGCCCGAUCGUGGGGGAUAACGGAGCGAAAGCUUUGCUAAUACCGCAUACGAUCUACGGAUGAAAGCAGGGGACCGCAAGGCCUUGCGCGGACGGAGCGGCCGAUGGCAGAUUAGGUAGUUGGUGGGAUAAAAGCUUACCAAGCCGACGAUCUGUAGCUGGUCUGAGAGGACGACCAGCCACACUGGGACUGAGACACGGCCCAGACUCCUACGGGAGGCAGCAGUGGGGAAUUUUGGACAAUGGGCGAAAGCCUGAUCCAGCCAUGCCGCGUGCAGGAUGAAGGCCUUCGGGUUGUAAACUGCUUUUGUACGGAACGAAAAGACUCCUUCUAAUACAGGGGGUCCAUGACGGUACCGUAAGAAUAAGCACCGGCUAACUACGUGCCAGCAGCCGCGGUAAUACGUAGGGUGCAAGCGUUAAUCGGAAUUACUGGGCGUAAAGCGUGCGCAGGCGGUUAUGUAAGACAGAUGUGAAAUCCCCGGGCUCAACCUGGGAACUGCAUUUGUGACUGCAUAGCUAGAGUACGGUAGAGGGGGAUGGAAUUCCGCGUGUAGCAGUGAAAUGCGUAGAUAUGCGGAGGAACACCGAUGGCGAAGGCAAUCCCCUGGACCUGUACUGACGCUCAUGCACGAAAGCGUGGGGAGCAACAGGAUUAGAUACCCUGGUAGUCCACGCCCUAAACGAUGUCAAC
rnacentral:rRNA from 1 species